rnacentral:lncRNA from 1 species
UAUUGGUUUAUUAGCUAAAUUAGACGUGGAAUAUCAAAAAUCCAAAGAAAUCCAAAAUUAGACAUCGGAUCGAGUCCACAUUUUACACACAUGUUGGUGCUAACGUUAAUGUCGUUCGAUAAAAAUUUCGGAAAAUUUCGCCAUUAGGGGGCGCAAUAAACGAGGAAAUUGUAUAUCUUCUACAAAAUUUCGCCGCGAAAACGCUACACUGACUCCUGCUACUCCUACCACAGUCAAAUCCUUUGUAUCCACAGGUUCAGGGUAGCGUUUUGAACACAUGCUUCGCGUUGUGCCGGCGAAACGCACAUUUCUUGUCGCGUUGUGCCGGCGAAAUGCACACUUCUUGGACCCCUGCAUAACUGCUUGCAGUUCUAGUUAGGGGUCCAAGCCAACAGGUUGGAUCCCUAUUGUUUUUGUAAGGAUUUUUAUUUUUAGGGGUCCAAGCCAACAGGUUGGAUCCCUAUUGUUUUUGUAAGGAUUUUUAUUAUUAUUAUACUACCUCCCCUUGAAAGUGGAACCACAGCCCAAACCGUAAAUGGUGCCGACAUGCCAAUUGCAUGACUAGAUCCAGGUCCGGCACCGCUACUCAGAUAACAAAAUCCAGACAUGCCGGCCACUAGGUGGCGCUAUACCAAGGAAUACGCGUUUGGGGCUAUAACUCCCACACCGAACCUCCCACAUUCAAAACCUUGCACACACAGAUUCACUGGAGUCUGAUGCAUCUUUUGGCAUAGGCCACGCCCAUUUGCGUCUAAAUUUUUUUUUCGCAAAAUCGCGAAAACCGCAAAAAUGUUUUUUCCCUACUCCUCCCACAUUCAAAACCUUGUACACACAGAUUCACUGGAGUCUGCUGCAUCUUUUGGCAUAGGCCACGCCCAUUUGCGCCAUUUUUUCGCAAAAUCGCGAAAACCGCAAAACUGUAUUUUCCCUACUCCUCCCACAUUUCUUGACCAAUCGACACCAAACUUUGCACACGGCAUCUUCAGACGCACACGCAUAGAAUUGAUAGACACUUUUUUGAUCGGACCUUCGACGACGAAACGGUAGCGUUUUGAAUAUUGGUUUAUGAGCUAAAUUAGACGUGGAAAAUCAAAAAUCCAAAGAAAUCCAAAAUUAGACAUCGGAACGAGUCCAAAUUUUACAGACAUGUUGGUGCUAACCUUAAUGUCGUACGAUAAAAAUUUCGGAAAAUUUCGCCAUUAGGGGGCGCAAUAAACGAGGAAAUUGUAUAUCUUCUAAUUGGCCAAAGGAAUGUUCUUCAAACUCAAGGGAAACCAUCACGGGGCAAACCCGAGUCUAUAUAAAAAUUAUGGUCAAGAAUUAUUAAUGUGGGCGGGAGUUAUUUGGAAAAGGAAAAUUGUCUUUGGAAAAUUUCGCCACAAGAGGGCGCAAAAAAACGACGAAAUAAUACAUCUCCUAAUCGCCAAUGGAAUGGUCUGAAAACGCGUUUUGGGCUAUAACUCCCACACCGAACCUCCCACAGUCAAAACCUUUGUAUCCACAGAUUCACUGGAGUCAGCUGCAUCUUUUGGCAUACGCCGUUUCUCAGUUUCGAACACAUGCUUCGCGUUGUGCCGGCGAAAUGCACACUUCUUGGACCCCUGCAUAACUGCUUGCAGUUCUAGUUAGGGGUCCAAGCCAACAGGUUGGAUCCCUAUUGUUUUUGUAAGGAUUAUUAGGGGUCCAAGCCAACAGGUUGGAUCCCUAUUGUUUUUGUAAGGAUUAUUAUUAUUAUUAUUCCAGCACUAAAAGUGCUACUACAGCCCAAACCGUAAAUGGUGCACACACGCCAAUUACAUGACUAGAUCCAGGUACGUGAAGACUAUGCAGACGACAAAAUCCAGACAUGCCGGCCACUAGGUGGCGCUAUACCAAGGAAUACGCGUUUGGGGCUAUAACUCCCACACCGAACCUUCCACAGUCAAAAACUUGUACCCACAUAUUCACUGGAGUCUGCUGCAUCUUUUGACAUAGGCCACGCCCAUUUGCGUCUAUAAUUUUUUUUCGCAAAAUCGCGAAAACCGCAAAACCCUACUCCUCCCACAUUUCUUGACCAAUCGACACCAAACUUUGCACACGACAUUGUCAGACGAACACGAAAAGAAAAACUCAAACACUUUUUUGAUCCGACCUUCGACUACGAAACGGUAGCGUUUUGAAUAUUUGUUUAUUAGCUACGUUUUACGUCGAUACGCAAAAAUUCAGAAAAUACCAAAAUUAGACAUCGGAUCAAGUCCAAAUUUUAGACACAUGUCGGUGCUACCCUUAGUGGCGUUCGAAAAAGAUUUCGGAAAAUUUCGCCAUAAGGGGGCGGAAUAAACGAGGAAAUUGUAUAUCUUCUACAAAAUUUCGCCGCGAAAACGCUACACUGACUUCCCGCUACUCCUACCACAGUCAAAUCCUUUGUAUCCACAGGUUCAUGGUAGCGUUUUGAACACAUGCUUCGCGUUGUGCCGGCGAAACGCACAUUUCUUGUCGCGUUGUGCCGGCGAAAUGCACACUUCUUGGACCCCUGCAUAACUGCUUGCAGUUCUAGUUCCUAUUAUUAUUAUUAGGGGUCCAAGCCAACAGGUUGGAUCCCUAUUGUUUUUGUAAGGAUUUUUCCUAUUAUUAUUAUUAUUAUUAUUAUUAUUAUUAUUCUUCCCCCCGUACUUGUGGGACUACAGCCCAAACCGUAAAUGGUGCACACGCGCCAAUUGCAUGACUAGAUCCAGGUCCGGCACCGCUACUCAGAUAACCAAAUCCAGACGCGCCGGCCACUAGGUGGCGCUAUACCAAGGACAGACGCGUUUGGGGCAAUAACUCCCACACCGAAUCUCCCACAUUCAAAAACUUGUACGCACAGAUUCACUGGAGCCUGCUGCAUCUUUUGGCAUAGGCCACGCCCAUUUGCGUCUAGAAUUUUUUUUCGCAAAAUCGCGAAAACCGCAAAAAUGCUUUUUCCCUACUCCUCCCACAUUUCUUGACCAAUCAACACCAAACUUUGCACACGACAUCUUCAGACGCACGCGCAAAGAAUGCAGGAAACAAUUUUUUGAUGCGACCUUUGACAACGAAACGGUAGCGUUUUGAAUAUUGGUUUAUUAGCUAAAUUAGACGUGGAAUAUCAAAAAUCCAAAGAAAUCCAAAAUUAGACAUCGGAUCGAGUCCAAAUUUUACACACAUGUUGGUGUUAAUCUUAAUGUCGUUCGAUAAAAAUUUCGGAAAAAUUCGCCAUUAGGGGGCGCAAUAAACGAGGAAAUUGUAUAUCUUCUACAAAAUUUCGCCGCGAAAACGCUACCCUGACUUCUUGCUACUCCUACCACAGUCAAAUCCUUUGUAUCCACAGGUUCAGGGUAGCGUUUCGAACACAUGCUUCGCGUUGUGCCGGCGAAACGCACAUUUCUUGUCGCGUUGUGCCGGCGAAAUGCACACUUCUUGGACCCCUGCAUAACUGCUUGCAGUUCUAGUUAUUAUUCUUACCUCCCUAAAAGUGGGACCACAGCCCAAACCGUAAAUGGUGCCGACACGCGAAUUGCAUGACUAGAUCCAGAUCUCUUCGGACUACGCAGACGACAAAAUCCAGACACGCCGAACACUAGGUGGCGCUAUACCAAGGAAUACGCGUUUGGGGCUAUAACUCCCACACCGAACCUCCCAGAGUCAAAAACUUGUACCCACAUAUUCACUGGAGUCUGCUGCAUCUUUUGGCAUAGGCCACGCCCAUUUGCGUCUAGAAUUUUUUUUCGCAAAAUCGCGAAAACCGCAAAACUGCUCCUCCCACAUUUCUUGACCAAUCAACACCAAACUUUGCACACGACAUCUUCAGACGCACACGAAAAGAAAAACUCAAACACUUUUUUGAUCCGUCCUUCGACGACGAAACUGUAGCGUUUUGAAUAUUUCUUUAUAAGCUAAAUUAGACGUGGAAUAUCAAAAAUACCAAAAUUAGACAUCGGAUCAAGUCCAAAUUUUUCAGACAUAUCGAUGCUCCACUUAAUGGCGUUCGAUAAAAAAAUCGGAAAUUUUCGCCAUAAGGGGGCGCAAUAAACGAGGAAAUUGUAUAUCUUCUCAUUUGCCAGAGGAAUGUUCUUCAAACUCAAGGGAAACCAUCAAGGGGCAAUCCCUAGUCUAUAUAGAAAAUAUGGCCAAGAAUUAUUAAUGUGGGCGGGAGUUAUUUGGAAAAGGAAAAUUGUCUUUGGAAAAAUUCGCCACAAGGGGGUGCAAAAAAACGACGACAUUGUCUAUCUCCUAUUUGGCCAAUGGAAUGUUCUGAAAACGCGUUUCAGGCUAUAACUCCCACACCGAAGCUCCCACAGUCAAAACCUUGAUAUCCACAUGUUGUUCACGGUAGCGUUUUGAAUACUUGCUUCGCGUUGUGCCGGCGAAACGCACAUUUCUUGUCGCGUUGUGCCGGCGAAAUGCACACUUCUUGGACCCCUGCAUAACUGCUUGCAGUUCUAGUUUCUUUUGUAGAUAUAGGCCAGGUCUGAAACAUGUGGGCCUAGUCCAUGGUGAACCAAAUUGCAAAUUUUAAGUCCUAGUUAAUUUCAUUCAACAUUUACUACCUGAAUGGUUUUUACUUUACCUCCCUACAUUAGAUAGAAUCUGACUAAAAGAGUCACUAAACAAUAAAGCUUAAUGCACAACAGUUUCGACCGCCUGUUUCAUUCAUCAUGUAACACACAAGACCGGAAACCAUAGCAACGCCGGUAAACAAACCCUGAGAAGCCCAAUCCCUGUGAGCUCCCCGCGCUACGGCCAUCCGGAGGCGCAGAGCUUUUGGCUGUGAUAUUAUAUAUACAAUUAUAUCAUAUUAUAUACUAUUAUAUAUAUAGAGCUCCGGGAGUCGCAUACGGCAACAAUCACUUUCUCCUCCAUGCUGCAGUUCACCCCGGACUGCACUGCACUGAGUUUGACGGUUAAACGCUGAUUGACUGUUACGUUACACAUGUCACUCAGUAGCCACGCUGUUGAACGCUGAUUGGCUGUCAUCACACGAAAUUCGCGUCAAAGUUUAAAUAUUUCAAGUCGAGCGAAUUUGUCGCGCCACAAAUCCUCAUGAACGCGCUCGCCUGUGCACGGCGAAAGUAUGGUGUGACAAAUCAAAACUUAUCGCCGGUUAUCCCUCGCAAAAAAAUUGCCCGAUACGCCUCACUUUGUAUGGGAUCCUGUCGCCCCGUCGCGUUUGGUGCGAACGCACACAUCGCAAGCUUUCACGUUCCCUAGGCCUAGAUUACCUACGCCACACUUAAUUGGUAACAGUGUUAUCUCUAACUAUGCAGGUCUAUACGCUAGCUAACAUCAGCUCAAGUUAACUGAUAUCAUGGAUGAAAAUGACCAGUCAUCCGAUGUUCAAUACCAGGACAUAAAUCCCAAAAAGGCGGAGAGAAACGGGGAGAUUUCCUGUGUGGCCAUCAGUUUGAUUGAUAUCGGCCUUCCUUAAUUUUUUAUCUUAAAAAAAACUGGGACAGAGUUUAUUUUUAUUUUCCCGGGGAUAGGCAACCAAAAGCUGCGACUGUCCCCUGAAACCGGGAACGUCUGGUCACUCCAUCAUGGAUACUUCCAAGACAAAUAAUAUUCAUGUUAAACUUUCAGCAAAAGACUGCAACCUUACCUUAAGCUCUCAUUCUUUACUUUCAGAAACCGGUCGAAAUUCUUGAAAUUCCCCAACCAUUCAGGAGUUACGGUACAUAGAAGCUCACGUUACAAAUACUUCAGGUGCUGGUGAAUCUUGUCUCUGUGAUUUGACGGUAGUUCUGCGGAAGUGGUGUGGGCUACCGUAAUGAUUAAUAUACGGGCGCAAGCUCUAUUUCUCCGCUUGAUAGUUUUUGAACGAUCUAGAUGGCAGAAAGCAUAGCAGAAACGGUUAGU